GGUCCUUCAAGUUAGUAUCCGGUGGCAGUUCUGUAAGUUUGAUUGCAGCGGAGAUUUAAGAUGCGUACCAGCGGGAGCUGUUGUGCUACUCAGGUGGGAUACUUUAUGUAGCGUUAGCCGAAUGCUAAUGUAGGGCGUCAGCAAACCUCUGCUAGCAAGAAAAUUUUCAAGGAGGAGAAAAUAAGACGCCGGCCGGUUUGGACCUCAUUGGGUCUUCAUCAGCACAGAAUCCCAACAACUCAUUUGCACCUGUACGUUUCCGCCCUGAUGAAGACCACGAGGUUAAAACCGGUCGGCGUCUUUUUACUGAGAUGCCCUGUUACAGCCACAGAACCCACGCACAAGAUUAAAUAGUCUCGGGCGUGUUACGAGGAGGACCGACAGCGUUCCGGGCCCAUCACUCCUGCAUUUGGACAUCAACUGCAAAUUGAUGAGCCUGCCUUGAAGCCAAGAUGAGCUGAUACGACUGGGGUCACUCAUGCAGAACAAGACAGCUUUCAACUUUUUGGCCCCUAUAAAAUCAUGCCAUUUCAGGUCUUGCUACUUUAUAACCAGUACCUGCCAUCUUUGAUAUUAAAACAGAACAAGAAAGUCUUACAGUUGUCAUAGCUUUAUUGAAGAAAAACAAAACAGGGCCUGGAAACUGCGCUUUUGCCCAAGGUAGAGUACCUCAUCUUCUACAUGUGCCUGGGCCAGUUAUGAAGACUCCUAGUUAUUCGAGAAGUCUUCACAACUGAUCCAGGCACCUGCAUUGCAACAGCAUGAAGAUGUGAAGUACUCUACCUUGAUGACUCCACCAGUAGGCAUUUCCCAUCUUAGCCAAAACCAUCCAGCUCCACCAGCUGCUGAGGAGAGC